GACGAACGCUGGCGGCGUGCCUAAUACAUGCAAGUCGAACGCAGUGGGGACGGGUGAGUAACACGUGGGUAACCUCCCAUCAGAGGGGAUAACACUUGGAAACAGGUGCUAAACCGAUAUUGAUGGAUGUACCCGCGGUGCAUUGGCUAGUUGGUGAGGUAACGGCUCACCAAGGCCACGAUGCAUAGCCGGCCUGAGAGGGUGAUCGGCCACACUGGGACUGAGACAAGGCCCAGACUCCUACGGGAGGCAGCAGUGGGGAAUAUUGCACAAUGGGCGCAAGCCUGAUGCAGCCAUGCCGCGUGUGUGAAGAAGGCCUUCGGGUUGUAAAGCACUUUCAGCGGGGAGGCGUUACCCGCAGAAGAAGCACCGGCUAACUCCGUGCCAGCCGCCGCGGUAAUAC
rnacentral:rRNA from 1 species